rnacentral:SRP_RNA from 1 species
GCUGGGCACGGUGGCACGUGCCUGUAGUCCCAGUUACUUGGGAGGCUAAGGUGGGAGGAUUGCUUGAGCCCAGGAGUUCUAAGCUGUAGUGUGCUAUGCUGAUUGGGUGUCCACACUAAAUUCGGCAUCCAUAUGGUGACCUCUGGGAAGCGGGGGACCACCAGGUUGCCUAAGGAGUGGUGAACCGGCCCAGGUCGGAAACAGCAGGUCAGAACUCCCAUGCCCAUCAGUAGUGGGAUCUCGCCUGUGAAUAGCCACUGUACUCUAGCCUGGGCAACAUAGCGAGACUCCGUCUCU